AAAAAACACCCAAAACCUAGCAGUAAACCCGAGUUCCCUCCCUUAGCUAAAAAUUUGGGUCAACUCUCCCUCCCAAAUUGCUCUCGGCCUCCCUCCGACUCACCAUUGCUCUCACCCUCGCUCCACCAUCGCUCUCACCCUCAAUCACCAUCGCUCUCACCCUUAAUCCCCCUCACCCCCUCACCCUCUCCACCUCGCUCUCACUCGAUCUCAGCGGGUUUUUCUUACCCGAUCUCAGGCAACGAUUAAAGCAAGUUCGAUCUCAGCGGGUUUUUCUUACUCGAUCUCAGGAGCAACUGGAGUUCAAGAAAGCUGUCUAAGGCGGAAAUCAAGUUCUGUUCAUUGCUCCUAGCUGGGUUUGAUGCUUCUCGCGUCUUUAACUCUUUCCCUUCUCAAAUCUCAAAGCUUUCUUCCAGUUACGCCAGCCCUACAACUUCUUUGCCUUCCUCUUCAGUAAAGGUUCGUUCUUUGCUUAUAUAUUGAGUCUUGGACUUGAGCCCCUCUUGCUUCUAGUGAGAAUUCUGAUGUGUUGUUGGGGUUAUUGAGCUUUACUAUUGAUUUGGUGUUGUUGGGUAUGGAAAAGUAUAUGCUUUUGCUACCAUGGUUGGGUUGUUUUGAUUGUGUGUGUUAGAUUUCAUUUAUAGGGUUUAGUACUUUAGUCACCUUUUUAAUUUGGGGUUUAAGGUUAUAUGUUGAUCGAAAAGAUGAGAGCCCUGAUAGUUACUUUUCUGGUAACAGUAGUGAUUUCAAUACUGGUAGUAGUCCUAGUGCUGGCACUAGCAACUCCGUUGAUUCUCAAUCGCUUGGUGAUUAUGGAGAGCAAAAGCCAUCUUUAUCAGAAACCUUUGGUCUUGUGUUAUGUUCCCUAUGUGAUGUACAAGGUUGCUAGCCAUCACCUAGACAUCUCUUGUAGCAAAAAUGCAUCAGUUAGGACUGCAAUUAAAUAAUUAGCAUUCCAUAUUGUAGCUGCAAUAUAUCUAUUCAGUCUGGUCAGACCAAUGCAAUAGGAUGAAUCCUGGCUAAAGUCUGGUUAAUGCUCCGCUCGAGUCAUAUUCAAAGUUUUCUAGAAAAUCUAAACUUCCUCUCAUCUAAUUAUUCAAAUUAUCAUCAUGCAGCAUGUACUAAUCUGAACUUCAUAUGUUCUUUAACUAUUGUAAGGGCACUUUUAGGUUCUAUAGCACGGCUUUCUUAAAAAUUGGUUGGACAAUAACUAUUGUGAUUGUCCAAGUGGGAGAUUGAUUAAAUAUAUAAUUUAAGUAACAUGGAAUAUGAUUGUUAUCACCCACUUAUGCAAAAUCUAUCAAGUGGUUAUGGAAAUAUAUUAAUGAUAACUUUUGGUUACUUAUCUGAUAUGAAACGUGUGGUAAAUAGAAGUGAUCGAGUUGCUUAUGACUUCUACUAUGGGAAUAGUCGAGUGUUCAAGCACUCUAGUCCCUGCAUUCUCUACGUUGAAAUAGAACAUUCAGUCCUUCCCCAUAAACAAGGAGUUCAUACUUAGAGAUCUGCAGAGGGCGAUUGUUCAUUUUGCUGACUUCAUGGAUCCUUCAGGUAUGAACAUUAUUCUAUUCCCUAUGUUGUGUGUGUGUGUGUGUGUUUGUAAUUCAUUGAAUUGUGUGCGUAUAUCUAUCAAUUGAUCCAGCGCUUGUUCAUGUUACAAUAUACAUAUAACACAAAGGUGUCUAUCGGCACACAUGAAAUCAUCAUACAUGAUUGUUGCUUUUUGCAGUUGCAAAUACCAGUUGUAUUCUGUGAUCUAUUUACUCAUGCAAUUCUACUAGUUGAGACUUGAGAGCAUAAUAUUUGCUGCAUUUUUUGGAGCAUAAACCUGCGCAACCUUCUGCUUCUCCUGCAAGUGCAAAUCAGCAAUUUAAGACUACUUUUAAGUUUAACAUAAUUAGAAAAUUAGGAAAUAAGAUGCAAAAAACAAUGAACACAAGAUAUGCAUGUCUGCAAAUCCUGGGUUAUGUUUCUCAAAGACCAUUUAAGUAGGUUAGUUACUACAUAAUCUGCAAAAAACAUCUAACAGCUGUGAUUUUGAAUAUGAGAGCUAAAUGGUAGAAGGACCAAUGGUUUUGUAGAAUAAUAGCAUCCAAACCGAAACCAAUUUAUCAUGAGUGGAGAUUGAUCCCCUAUCAUACCCUAGCCUUCUUUGAUACUGUGUAGAAUUUAGAACUUCCUUGGCUAUAGAUUAGUAUAUUGCUAUCUAAUUAAGGUUUUGAAUUCUUGGUCAAUAAUUUGAUAUGCAUGUAACACAUAUACCAGAGUUGAUGUUGGUGCACAUGGAAGUUGUGCAACCAAGGCUGCAGUAGUAGAGAGGCUCCGGCAGCAACUUCUUGCAAUUUUUCAAGCAUUCUGCAGUACAGAUUGGGCUGGUUUUAGAACCUGCACAUUUGAGUGUACAUUUAAUUAUGCAGAAAGGUGACUGAGCUUGCACUUCAGUCACCAAAAUCACGAUCAUCAGGACCAUAAGAACAUGCACAAGUCUCCUGGAGCUAUUUCCUUCCAUUAUUUCUCUAUCCCUUUCCUUUCUUUCUAUUGAUAAUCUGAGACACUCCUAAAUUCCUCAGAAGCAAUCUUUUUAAAGGCCUAAACCUUAAUUAGUUAUGAAACAACUCUUUUCACCUAAAGUUGCUUUAACAUUAAUAUCUCACCAUAAACUUUAGUUUUUGUAUUAGUUGACAAUAGGAUUUUACCUGCUCUUUGCCAUGAUUGAAUAUCUGGUUGUGUAUUCAAAAGUCCACCCUUGAACUCACCUAUGGAUUUUAUCAUAAUCAAGUGCAGAACAUCUUUUUGCCACAAAAUCCUUUUUGCUAAUUCAGAUAUUCAUUUCAACUGGUGAUUCCUUCCAUUAAUGCAUUUUCUGAAUUCUGAAGGUCUUGAGUAUGCCAGGGUCCUCUCUGCUAUUAUAUAUCCCAAGGAAAAGAUAGUGCAUUGCUAUAUGCCCUGUGAGGUUCAUUUAUAUCAGUUUCAUGCAGAUCUGUCUUUUAAUUUACUGGAGCACUGCUAAUCUACUUACCAAAACUUCUGGCAGACACCAUUUAACAAUUUUCAUUACUUGGUUCAGUUGUUGACAGACCAAAAAAAAAAAUGCAUUUGUAGAUCAAAUUUUUGCGGCAUGCAAAGAUGCAUACUAUGCUUUGCAGAAGGUGAUGAUUGACCACAAGUGGGCUAACCUGAGAAUUGUCUGGGUAGAAUGCAAGUAAGCAAGUUGGGGCCAGCAACAAUUGUCGUCUGUAGCUUCUGAUUCUAAUCACUGUUGAGGUACUUCAUCGGGUCUCCUUUCUCAGGUGUCAUCUGUAGCUUCUGAUUCUAAUCACUGUUGAGGUAAUUCAGCCUUUUCUCUUUCCGGGUUCCUUUGAUUGCUUUAAAUUGUGCCCAAGUUCAUUUCUUUGAUCGGCUUAGGUAUUCAAUUGAUCUGGCUUGCUACAGUUGAUUUGACUGCAUCAUCGAAUUCUGUGAGUGUUUUUGGUGUAUUCAAUUGAUCUGUAUUGCUCAGUUGAUUUGACUCCAUCAUCGAAUUCUGUGAGUGUUUUUGGUGUAUUCAAUUGAUCUGUAUUGCUCAGUUGAUUUGACUGCAUCAUCAAUUUAUGCUUUCCGUCUCUUAAGCAAUGAUGAAGAUUCAAGAUUUAAACUUUUUCACAACUAUAGUUUUUCUUACUUUUUAUCUGCUGCAGUUUUUGAUUGGGCUUUUUGUUAUUGUUGAUUUUGAAUUCACAUGAGUAUUUAUUUUUUUACAAGCUUUGUUUCUUUACCACUUUCAAAUCUGGACGAUUAAUUGGAUUAUGAAGCUCAGCCUGCUUCAUUAGACCUGAAAUUUACUGAUUGAAAUUGUUUCUCAGUUUAGCUCUUUUUAAUGUGACUUAGUGGAAGCCUAUCUCAAACUAAGGGGCAGAAAAAAGAGCUGCAUUCUUCCCGUAGCUGCAUUUUGAGAGCACAACGUUUUUAUUGCAGGCCAUGCAAAUACUGAAAGGCACUUUGCAUUGUUUCUUCAUCAAGAUUGGGUAUCAAGGUGGGCUUUGCUUAAAAAUUAGGAUCAAGAAGGUUGGUAUGCGGAGAUAAUAAUAAAGGCAUACGGAGAAAGCUUGCCUUGACCACACUGCUGGCUUAGUUGCUGUGCGUAAAUAGUACUAUCGUAUCUAGUAGUUGGUGACUUAUUUUGGUAACCUCCUUGAUUGUACAAGAUAGACAAUAUUACUUGCUAGAUUGAGGUUACUUUUGGUUAGGAUUGCUGGAUUUGAUCAUAUCUGGAUAUGGAUACGUACUUUUGGAAAUGUUUUGGAUUGGCAAUGUAAGAACAGAUGGCAUUGAUAUAUGACAAUGUUAUAUUUUGGAUUUGUUCAGGA